CACUCUCUCAUUUUCUCUCACUCCCUCAGCUGGAAACGGUAAGCCUCAUCUUCCGUCUCUCUCUCUCUCUCUCUCAAUGAAGAUUGAAGAUCUUUUUAGGGUUUCGAUUUGGAAUUAUCUAUUUUUUCGAUUUGGAAUUUGGGUAGUCGCGGAUCCAAAUGAAUUUGUAUGGGUCGUGGUGAACGACGUUGGGGCCUCUAAAGAUUGGAGGUUUUUCUGGGUUUGGGUUACGAUUUAGCCCCGAAAACCCCUACAAUGGAGGUUGUGGUGGCCUCCUCCUCCAUUGACGCUGAUAUCGCCUACUUGAACUUCAACUUUGGACGGCCUUACCUCCGAUCCCUCUUUAUCUGCAAAAUCAGCGGCUUUGCAGGCAAUCUAGUUGAAGAAGACAAAGGGAAUCUCUCACUGUGGCUUUCUUACGCAUAUGGUAUGAUCAUAUAUAUGCCUAAUGGAUACUCAACGGUAGUAAAAAAAUGAGUUAUAUCAGAUGUCUUCACUUUGUAUCCUAAUGCAAAUGCUGCUACUGAGGUUACCUUACAGACUAUAGAGGAUGUUAUCAGAUCUGUUGGUCUACAUAAGAGAGCAAAGAUGAUACAACGCAUGUCUCAGGAGUAUCUAGGGGGAGUUGUAUGGUGUUGGUAAAGUAGUUGACAUUAUCAGAAGGUUCUCUAGCAUUAGUAGUCUCCCUCUCUACCUGCGGAGAUAAUUACACAUGUUUUGAGUGUUGAGAGUUGGCCGCAUCCAAUAGUUAGGGGAAAGCUUCAUUCUACAAGUAGAUCACCUUAGCUAUGAGUUGUGCACCUUUGGAGCCAUAGUUAUGAGUUUGUGUACAUUUUGAGUUGUAUAUUUGGAUGUUUCGAUAUAUGAAUACUUGAAUGAAUAGAUCUUUUGGUAUGAUUUGAU